UUUAAUUGAAGAGUUUGAUCAUGGCUCAGAUUGAACGCUGGCGGCAGGCCUAACACAUGCAAGUCGAGCGGUAACAUGAACUAGCUUGCUAGUUUGAUGACGAGCGGCGGACGGGUGAGUAAUGCCUGGGAAUUUGCCCAUUCGAGGGGGAUAACAGUUGGAAACGACUGCUAAUACCGCAUACGCCCUAAGGGG
rnacentral:rRNA from 1 species